UACGUAGGGUGCAAGCGUUGUCCGGAAUUAUUGGGCGUAAAGAGCUUGUAGGCGGUUCGGUAGGUCCGUUGUGAGAACUCGAGGCUCAACCUCGAGACGCCGAUGGAAACCAUCGAACUAGAGUCCGGAAGAGGAGAGUGGAAUUCCUGGUGUAGCGGUGAAAUGCGCAGAUAUCAGGAAGAACACCCGUGGCUAAGGCGGCUCUCUAGUACGGUACUGACGCUGAGACGCGAAAGCGUGGGGAGCGAACAGG
rnacentral:rRNA from 1 species